rnacentral:rRNA from 1 species
ACUAAGCGUACACGGUGGAUGCCUAGGCAGUCAGAGGCGAUGAAGGGCGUGCUAAUCUGCGAAAAGCGUCGGUAAGCUGAUAUGAAGCGUUAUAACCGACGAUACCCGAAUGGGGAAACCCAGUGCAAUACGUUGCACUAUCGUUAGAUGAAUACAUAGUCUAACGAGGCGAACCGGGGGAACUGAAACAUCUAAGUACCCCGAGGAAAAGAAAUCAACCGAGAUUCCCCCAGUAGCGGCGAGCGAACGGGGAGGAGCCCAGAGUCUGAAUCAGUUUGUGUGUUAGUGGAAGCGUCUGGAAAGUCGCACGGUACAGGGUGAUAGUCCCGUACACCAAAAUGCACAGGCUGUGAACUCGAUGAGUAGGGCGGGACACGUGACAUCCUGUCUGAAUAUGGGGGGACCAUCCUCCAAGGCUAAAUACUCCUGACUGACCGAUAGUGAACCAGUACCGUGAGGGAAAGGCGAAAAGAACCCCGGCGAGGGGAGUGAAAUAGAACCUGAAACCGUGUACGUACAAGCAGUGGGAGCACCUUCGUGGUGUGACUGCGUACCUUUUGUAUAAUGGGUCAGCGACUUAUAUUUUGUAGCAAGGUUAACCGAAUAGGGGAGCCGUAGGGAAACCGAGUCUUAACUGGGCGUCUAGUUGCAAGGUAUAGACCCGAAACCCGGUGAUCUAGCCAUGGGCAGGUUGAAGGUUGGGUAACACUAACUGGAGGACCGAACCGACUAAUGUUGAAAAAUUAGCGGAUGACUUGUGGCUGGGGGUGAAAGGCCAAUCAAACCGGGAGAUAGCUGGUUCUCCCCGAAAGCUAUUUAGGUAGCGCCUCGUGAACUCAUCUUCGGGGGUAGAGCACUGUUUCGGCUAGGGGGCCAUCCCGGCUUACCAAACCGAUGCAAACUCCGAAUACCGAAGAAUGUUAUCACGGGAGACACACGGCGGGUGCUAACGUCCGUCGUGAAGAGGGAAACAACCCAGACCGCCAGCUAAGGUCCCAAAGUCAUGGUUAAGUGGGAAACGAUGUGGGAAGGCACAGACAGCCAGGAUGUUGGCUUAGAAGCAGCCAUCAUUUAAAGAAAGCGUAAUAGCUCACUGGUCGAGUCGGCCUGCGCGGAAGAUGUAACGGGGCUAAACCAUGCACCGAAGCUGCGGCAGCGACACUUAGGUGUUGUUGGGUAGGGGAGCGUUCUGUAAGCCGUUGAAGGUGACCUGUGAGGGUUGCUGGAGGUAUCAGAAGUGCGAAUGCUGACAUAAGUAACGAUAAUGCGGGUGAAAAACCCGCACGCCGGAAGACCAAGGGUUCCUGUCCAACGUUAAUCGGGGCAGGGUGAGUCGACCCCUAAGGCGAGGCUGAAAAGCGUAGUCGAUGGGAAACAGGUUAAUAUUCCUGUACUUGGUGUUACUGCGAAGGGGGGACGGAGAAGGCUAGGCUGGCCGGGCGACGGUUGUCCCGGUUUAAGCGUGUAGGGGGAGUGACCAGGUAAAUCCGGUUGCUUAUCAACCCUGAGGCGUGAUGACGAUGCACUACRGUGCAGAAGCAGUUGAUGCCAUGCUUCCAGGAAAAGCCUCUAAGCAUCAGGUAACAUUAAAUCGUACCCCAAACCGACACAGGUGGUCAGGUAGAGAAUACUCAGGCGCUUGAGAGAACUCGGGUGAAGGAACUAGGCAAAAUGGUGCCGUAACUUCGGGAGAAGGCACGCUGGCGUUAGGUGAAAGGACUAGCUCCUGGAGCUGAAGCCAGUCGCAGAUACCAGCUGGCUGCAACUGUUUAAUAAAAACACAGCACUGUGCAAACACGAAAGUGGACGUAUACGGUGUGACGCCUGCCCGGUGCUGGAAGGUUAAUUGAUGGGGUCAGCCGCAAGGCGAAGCUCUUGAUCGAAGCCCCAGUAAACGGCGGCCGUAACUAUAACGGUCCUAAGGUAGCGAAAUUCCUUGUCGGGUAAGUUCCGACCUGCACGAAUGGCGUAAUGAUGGCCAGGCUGUCUCCACCCGAGACUCAGUGAAAUUGAACUCGCUGUGAAGAUGCAGUGUACCCGCGGCAAGACGGAAAGACCCCGUGAACCUUUACUAUAGCUUGACACUGAACAUUGAGCCUUGAUGUGUAGGAUAGGUGGGAGGCCUUGAAGUGUGGACGCCAGUCUGCAUGGAGCCAACCUUGAAAUACCACCCUUUAAUGUUUGAUGUUCUAACUCGGCCCCAUAAUCUGGGGUGAGGACAGUGUCUGGUGGGUAGUUUGACUGGGGCGGUCUCCUCCCAAAGAGUAACGGAGGAGCACGAAGGUUAGCUAAUCACGGUCGGACAUCGUGAGGUUAGUGCAAAGGCAUAAGCUAGCUUGACUGCGAGAGUGACGGCUCGAGCAGGUACGAAAGUAGGUCUUAGUGAUCCGGUGGUUCUGAAUGGAAGGGCCAUCGCUCAACGGAUAAAAGGUACUCCGGGGAUAACAGGCUGAUACCGCCCAAGAGUUCAUAUCGACGGCGGUGUUUGGCACCUCGAUGUCGGCUCAUCACAUCCUGGGGCUGAAGUAGGUCCCAAGGGUAUGGCUGUUCGCCAUUUAAAGUGGUACGCGAGCUGGGUUUAGAACGUCGUGAGACAGUUCGGUCCCUAUCUGCCGUGGGCGUUGGAAGAUUGAGAGGGGCUGCUCCUAGUACGAGAGGACCGGAGUGGACGAAUCACUGGUGUUCGGGUUGUCAUGCCAAUGGCAUUGCCCGGUAGCUAAAUUCGGAAGAGAUAACCGCUGAAAGCAUCUAAGCGGGAAACUUGCCUCGAGAUGAGUCUUCCCUGGGRCUUAAAGYCCCCUGAAGGAACGUUAAAGACUAUGACGUUGAUAGGCUGGGUGUGUAAGUGCAGCGAUGUAUUGAGCUAACCAGUACUAAUGAUCCGUGAGGCUUAACC